GAGCCCAGACAAAAGACCAAGGUCUUCAAAAUGGAAUAACUGGGUUUGAAUCUCAGCUUUGAUAUUUACCAGAUACAGCAGAAGUGGGAUCAGCUACAAGGUAAAAAUCUGCAGGAUCAACAUGAUUUUGAUUCUGAAUUUGGUGCUCUCUACCAGGGGUUGCUAUCAAGCUUUCCUCCCUGCCCUCCAUUAAGACGUGUGAACGCUCAGGGAGGCCUUCCCUGAGGACCUAUAUGGCACGGCUUCAAGAGAUGAUGGCUUGACAGCAUUCAGAGUUUAAUGCAAUGCCCUUGGCGGUCCUGGAUCUGUCUCUGCUUUAACAGUGUUUGGAUGGAACAGACCCCGGGACGCCCCUUCUUCCUGCCUCUGACCACCCUCCAGGGUCUUAUCCAGUCACCACCUUCAGAACCACCUCCGGGACCAGCCAACACACCGGGUUUUUCUCUACCGUAACUCCUAUUGCCGAACAACCAGGAGCUCCCAAACCCGUCAGAAUUAUUCCACCGAGGGGGAGGCUGCCGCCAACCGCAGGGCCUGCAUCUGCAGGCUCCCACCUACCUCUCUCUGGGCUGCUUUUUCGAACACAAGAACACAACGAUGUGGCCCUCCAGGGCAGGAGUGGGUGGAGAAGAAGCGGGAGGGCGCUAAGUGGCUCCUAAAGUUGCAAUUCUCUCCAGGACGUGCUGAGCCUCCCCAAGACGAGUGGGUAAAACUCAGGAUGCCAUGGAGGCCGCCCUGGCCUUGGAGAGGAACCUGACCAGGCCCUUUGGGAGCUGCAGGCCCUGGUUCUACCCGCGCAGCCCCUCAGCCCGUGACUUCCGGGAGAACCACUUCCGGGGCAAGAAGGUGAAACUCAUCAAGAAGAUGGGCGACGCCUGGCUCACCUCCGCAGCUGGCCGGCCCCCAGCUGAGCUGGGCAAGUGUGUUUUCGAAAGGCUCACCCUCCAGCACGACUAGGAGCCUUUGGAGCCCUGAGGCCUUUGAGGGGCCCCUCUGCAUUUCCCUGGUGUCUGGCUUUUACUUGAACCUUACCCUGAAACUACUAGCCAUUCUUUUAACCACCCUGAAGCCCUCUCCCAUGCAUUGGACCAAAUGAAACAAUAAAGCUUUUUGC